UACGUAGGGUGCAAGCGUUGUCCGGAAUUAUUGGGCGUAAAGAGCUCGUAGGCGGUUUGUCGCGUCUGCUGUGAAAACCCGGGGCUCAACCCCGGGCCUGCAGCCGAUACGGGCAGACUAGAGUUCGGCAGGGGAGACUGGAAUUCCUGGUGUAGCGGUGAAAUGCGCAGAUAUCAGGAGGAACACCAGUGGCGAAGGCGGGUCUCUGGGCCGAUACUGACGCUGAGGAGCGAAAGCGUGGGGAGCAAACAGG
rnacentral:rRNA from 1 species